rnacentral:rRNA from 1 species
UGGGGAAUAUUGGACAAUGGGCGAAAGCCUGAUCCAGCCAUGCCGCGUGUGUGAAGAAGGUCUUCGGAUUGUAAAGCACUUUAAGUUGGGAGGAAGGGCAGUAAGCGAAUACCUUGCUGUUUUGACGUUACCGACAGAAUAAGCACCGGCUAACUCUGUGCCAGCAGCCGCGGUAAUACAGAGGGUGCAAGCGUUAAUCGGAAUUACUGGGCGUAAAUCGCGCGUAGGUGGUUCGUUAAGUUGAAUGUGAAAGCCCCGGGCUCAACCUGGGAACUGCAUCCAAAACUGGCGAGCUAGAGUAGGGCAGAGGGUGGUGGAAUUUCCUGUGUAGCGGUGAAAUGCGUAGAUAUAGGAAGGAACACCAGUGGCGAAGGCGACCACCUGGGCUCAUACUGACACUGAGGUGCGAAAGCGUGGGGAGCAAACAGG